GAUGAACGCUGGCGGCGUGCCUAAUACAUGCAAGUCGAGCGAACAGAUAAGGAGCUUGCUCCUUUGACGUUAGCGGCGGACGGGUGAGUAACACGUGGGUAACCUACCUAUAAGACUGGGAUAACUUCGGGAAACCGGAGCUAAUACCGGAUAAUAUUUCGAACCGCAUGGUUCGAUAGUGGAAGAUGGUUUUGCUAUCACUUAUAGAUGGACCCGCGCCGUAUUAGCUAGUUGGUAAGGUAACGGCUUACCAAGGCGACGAUACGUAGCCGACCUGAGAGGGUGAUCGGCCACACUGGAACUGAGACACGGUCCAGACUCCUACGGGAGGAAGCAGUAGGGAAUCUUCCGAAAUGGGCGAAAGCCUGACGGAGCAACGCCGCGUGAGUGAUGAAGGUAUUCGGAUCGUAAAACUCUGUUAUUAGGGAAGAACAUACGUGUAAGUAACUGUGCACGUCUUGACGGUACCUAAUCAGAAAGCCACGGCUAACUACGUG
rnacentral:rRNA from 1 species